UCUUUGCUGACGAGUGGCGGACGGUUGAGUAAUGUCUGGGAAACUGCCUGAUGGAGGGGGAUAACUACUGGAAACGGUAGCUAAUACCGCAUAACGUCGCAAGACCAAAGAGGGGGACCUUCGGGCCUCUUGCCAUCGGAUGUGCCCAGAUGGGAUUAGCUAGUAGGUGGGGUAACGGCUCACCUAGGCGACGAUCCCUAGCUGGUCUGAGAGGAUGACCAGCCACACUGGAACUGAGACACGGUCCAGACUCCUACGGGAGGCAGCAGUGGGGAAUAUUGCACAAUGGGCGCAAGCCUGAUGCAGCCAUGCCGCGUGUAUGAAGAAGGCCUUCGGGUUGUAAAGUACUUUCAGCGGGGAGGAAGGGAGUAAAGUUAAUACCUUUGCUCAUUGACGUUACCCGCAGAAGAAGCACCGGCUAACUCCGUGCCAGCAGCCGCGGUAAUACGGAGG
rnacentral:rRNA from 1 species